CGUCCUACGGGACGCAGCAGUGGGGAAUAUUGCACAAUGGGGGAAACCCUGAUGCAGCGACGCCGCGUGAGUGAAGAAGUAUUUCGGUAUGUAAAGCUCUAUCAGCAGGGAAGAAAGGUGCCCCUUGGGCGCCUGGACGGUACCUGACUAAGAAGCCCCGGCUAACUACGUGCCAGCAGCCGCGGUAAUACGUAGGGGGCAAGCGUUAUCCGGAUUUACUGGGUGUAAAGGGAGCGCAGGCGGCUUGGCAAGUCUGAUGUGAAAGGCUGGGGCUCAACCCCAGGACUGCAUUGGAAACUGUUAGG
rnacentral:rRNA from 1 species